ACAGAAUCCUACCUAUCAGGGGAAGAAAGUUAUUUGAGAAAGCAGAAGAUGAAGUCACCACCUUAGGAGCUGAAGUGCAGAAAACUACAACAGCAGAGGUGCUUGGAAGGUGUCCCCAGCAACAGCAGCAGUUUCUCUUCCAUGUGGAUCAGGAGAGUGUUACUGGGAGCCAUUCUUGGUGCUAUUGGCCUUGGUCAGAGACCCCCACGUUGAGCACAGGACUCUGCUUUGGCUGUCACCUCCUGCCUCUAUUUAUACCUCAGGGAGUUCCAGCAGAUUUCUCCAGAAUGUUUCAUAUAGUGCCCUGCCCAGUGCACAGCUGAAAGAAAGCAAACUUUGAUGAUGAAGGAACAUAGGAAGAGGCAGUUUGAGCUGCAGUCUUCAGGGUGGUUAGCAGCUAAACCCCUUUCUACAGCUGCUUGUGUGGGUGACCCUGGCGUGGCCCUGCACCUCUGACAGAGUCUUUCUGCAGUGAUUAUUACAAAUAAUGAAAAAUUAA